GGAAGCGUGCCAGAGUGGCCGAAUGGGCCGCACUCGAAAUGCGGUAUAGGGGAAACCCUAUCGGAGGUUCGAAUCCUCCCGCUUCCG
rfam:Bacteroidetes bacterium RIFCSPHIGHO2_02_FTLL_44_7 rifcsphigho2_02_scaffold_414559, whole genome shotgun sequence.